AACCAGCACCCUCAAGUGGUCAGGAUGAUUAUUGGGCCUAAAGCAUCCGUAGCUCGUUUUGUAAGUUUUCGUUAAAUACCACUACGCUUAACGUAUGGGCGUGCCGGGAAGUACUGCAUAACUAGGAAGUGGGAGAGGUAGACGGUACUCGGUAGGAAGGGGUAAAAGUACCUUUGUAUCUAUUGAUGACCACCUGUGGCGAAGGCGGUCUACCAGAACACGUUCGACGGUGA
rnacentral:rRNA from 1 species